rnacentral:rRNA from 1 species
CGCGUAGGCGGGCGUGCAAGUCAGAUGUGAAAUCCCGAAGCUCAACUUCGGAACAGCAUUUGAAACUGCAUGUCUAGAGGGUAGGCGGAGAAAAUAGAAUUCCACAAGUAGCGGUGAAAUGCGUAGAUAUGUGGAAGAAUACCGGUGGCGAAGGCGAUUUUCUAGCUUAUACCUGACGCUGAGGCGCGAAAGCAAGGGGAUCAAACA